UCCGUGCAUUCUAGUGCAUCUAGUUUUUAAGUAUUAUACAAUAAAUAUUUCCCUUACCUUUGAGUGGACAAAUUGUAAUCAUAACGACUUUCAUUUGCGACGACACCUACCGACAGCUAUUAUUCUCAACGAAGCCGAACUUGGCGACAUAUCAUCAGUGUCAUUAUUCCUGAAGUCACGCAACGUUAAAAGGAAAAAAAACAUGUUCAACAAGUAGUAGCACUCUGCUUACUCGUAUUUCUUAACGCCUCGAUAACAAGUACCUAGAUUAUUUAUUCACUUCCCCGAAAGUGAAAGCAACGCGGAAAGGGGUACUGGCUGUUAACAGUUCUUCGUGCUGAUGAAACUUUACUGCCUAAGAUUGAAUUCAAACUGACUCGCUUAUAUCGGACAGCAUUCUCAGGACAACAACAUCUUGGAUGUUCCAGACAGUUCAUAAAUAAAAUAUAACGGAAAUUUCUGUGGCACAGAACGUGUUAACCCUUUGCACUCGAGGGGUGACUCCAUGUCACAACCUGAUAUAGUAAAAUUAUAAAAUCUUAUGUAUAAUAUUAAGCUGUGCACAAUGCAUCAGUAUGUGAAAUACUGAAAUCGAACAGCUUCGUUCUUUAGUGUACGUGUUUUCUCAUAAGCUAGAUUCAAAGGAUGUCGUCUACAUUUGAUCGGAAAGCGUUAAAUAUUUCUAGCGAGAAACUUUCGAGUUGAAAAGGUUAAUUAGCGCAGCGUUAACACGUCCACGACGGGAUGUUCCACCGGUGGUACAUUCUUGUCUGUCCCAUGGGACGGGGUGUAACACCGGUGGUACAUGAACUAUUGUCGCGUCAUAGCAUUUAAAUAACUGGUUACUGUAAUCAACAAAUUUAUUUACAUCUUUAUAUGCAUAAGAGAACUAUUCUCUGAAGUCUCAAGUGUAACACCAAAGAGAAAAUAAAUACAUACAUAAUUUCAAAUUGGUCCCGCCAGAUGGGAGAAAGUAUAAAAAAUAACACUAUCCCACGGCAGGGACACUAAAUUGAAGCCCCGUCGCGAACGUGUUAAACAGGGCCACACUGUUCUUAUACAGCUGUAUGAAUUUUUCGCGUCUCUUCCUUCGAAAACCCGGCUACAAUGGCAAAAGCUCCUUCUAAAGAUUCGGGGCGCUGUAGGGGCGCUCCCAGGGGGCGGGGCCACCCUUUAGUUUCUGUCUCGCUCGCUUCGUGGCAAUACUAUUGAGUCUUCGCAUCGGUCGGUUCGAGCAAGGGGCACGACGUACCGUCAACAAUUACGCGAUUUCAUCUCCAGAAUCGAUCAACAGUUUCACAGAAUCGUGAGCUCUAUUGUUCCAGAUCUCGUGAACCAUUGAAUGCCUACUACGCCUUUCGUUUAACUCAGUUUAACACAACUUUUCGC